GACGUAGGGCGCGAGCGUUGUCCGGAUUUAUUGGGCGUAAAGAGCUCGUAGGCGGCUUGUCGCGUCGACUGUGAAAUCCCGCGGCUCAACUGCGGGUCUGCAGUCGAUACGGGCAGGCUAGAGUUCGGUAGGGGAGACUGGAAUUCCUGGUGUAGCGGUGAAAUGCGCAGAUAUCAGGAGGAACACCGAUGGCGAAGGCAGGUCUCUGGGCCGAUAUUGACGCUGAGGAGCGAAAGCGUGGGGAGCGAACAGG
rnacentral:rRNA from 1 species